rnacentral:rRNA from 1 species
AGGUAGGUAGAGAGAGAGUGAAGAGGGAGCUAUAGAGAGAGUCGAGAGGACGGGCUAGGGGAGACAGAGGCGGCGACCGCGGCGGCGAGCUAAGGCCGGUGACGGCCGUACGAAGCGACGGCAUGAACGGUGGAUGACGAGGGGGAGCUCGACUAGAUGGAAGAGGUGGGCGAGCUAAACGAAUAGGAGAGAGAGAGCGCGCGCGCUCAGGGGGAGAGGGAUGCGCUGAGGUACGGUAGCGGCGGCGGGUGCGGCCGCCCAAGGCCGCUAAAGGUGGCCCCGCGUCGUCCGAAGGCGCGAGGGGAGAGUGGCCCGGAAGUAGGUCAUACCGGUCUAGGCGGCCCGUACCGGGGAUGGGAGUGGGUGCCGAUCCCUAAACCGCCGAGGGUGCAGCCGCACCGACUUCAGUGGGUAGUGCGCCUGCCCAGCUUCGCGACCUAGAGCCCUGUCCCGCCGCGCCUCCGGAAGGAAGGUAUCCUAAGGCUCGAGCUGCUCGGAUCGCCGACGGCAGGAACGGGGUGAGCUCCUCCUCCCCGCGUGGAUCGUCCGGUGGUCACCGUACAAGAUGAGGAGCAGAAGGAGGUGACGGACUUGGUGGUGCGGAAGUUGUCGCCCGACGACGUCGUAGCUGGCCUUCGUUUGUUUUCCUGCUGUGAGUGUUCCUUGCUUCUUCGGUCGAUAGGAACAGUUGAACUACAAAAUCGAAGGUAAAACAUGUUGAGUAGAGGGUAUGAAUGUAGAAAAUCAACAGGUAAACACUUGGACUACAUACCACAGAACCACCAAUACAAAGAUUGUUUGAUUUCACGUAUAUACACUAUAUUAAUCAAUUACCUUAUUUUCGACUAACCACGUGUAUUACACUUGGACUAUAUACCACAGAACCACUGGCACACUUGAACAGCACGAGCACAACCUAUACUG